rnacentral:rRNA from 1 species
GACGGGGGGUCCAAGCGUUGUUCGGAAUCAUUGGGCGUAAAGCGGGCGUAGGUGGCUAUGUAAGUCAGGAGUGAAAGCCCUGGGCUCAACCCAGGAAGUGCUCUUGAUACUGCGUAGCUUGAAUGUGGGAGAGGGUAGUAGAAUUCCAGGUGUAGUGGUGAAAUACGUAGAUAUCUGGAGGAAUACCGGUGGCGAAGGCGGCUACCUGGCCCAACAUUGACACUGAGGCCCGAAAGCGUGGGGAUCAAACAGG